rnacentral:rRNA from 1 species
ACUCCUACGGGAGGCAGCAGUGGGGAAUAUUGCACAAUGGAGGGAACUCUGAUGCAGCGACGCCGUGUGAACGAAGAAGGCUUUCGAGUCGUAAAGUUCUUUUAUAUGGGAAGAUAAUACGGUNCCAUAAGAAAAGCCCCGGCAACUACGUGCCAGCAGCCGCGUAAUACGUAGGGGCGUAGCGUUGUCCGGAAUCACUGGGCGUAAAGGGUUCGCAGGCGGAAAUGCAAGUCAGAUGUAAAAGGCAGUAGCUUAACUACUGUAAGCAUUUGAAACUGCAUAUCUUGAGAAGAGUAGAGGUAAG